GGAAUUUUCCGCAAUGGGCGAAAGCCUGACGGAGCAAUACCGCGUGAGGGUUAAGGCCUAUGGGUUGUAAACCUCUUUUUUCAGAGAAGAAUAAAUGACGUUAUCUGAAGAAUAAGCAUCGGCUAACUUCGUGCCAGCAGCCGCGGUAAUACGAGGGAUGCAAGUGUUAUCCGGAAUCACUGGGCGUAAAGCGUUUGAAGGUGGUUUAUUAAGUCGAGUGUUAAAUCUAAAAGCUUAACUUUUAAAUUGCAUUCGAAACUAAUUUACUUGAGUAUAGUAGAGGUAAAGGGAAUUUCCAGUGGAGCGGUUAAAUGCGUAGAUAUUGGAAAGAACAUCAAGUGCGAAGGCACUUUACUUGGUUAUCACUGACACUAAUGAACGAAAGCUAGGGUAGCAAAUGGGAUUAGAUACCCCAGUAGUC
rnacentral:rRNA from 1 species